UUCUUAUAAUGUCCACUUUCCGUAAGCCAAAAAAAAAAAAAAAUGGUCUUCCACAAUGGACCUCUGGACGCCACAUUUGCAUAGUUGCAUGAUUGUUUUCUGGCACAAACAAGGAGGGGUGUGUUCAGAUGGUCCUCCUGUGGACGUGGCUGCAGGAGUGGGGUGGUCGGACGAACGAACAAAAGCUCAGUCGCGCCGACUGAGACAGAGAAUCUCAAAGAAUCAAGAUGCUCAAGCUCCUGUUCCUGGUUUCUUGCCUGGUGCCUCUGGCCCUGUGCUACCCUUACUACCCAUCGACAUGCUAUAGCAAAGUCCUGGUCAAGGCGCAGGAGGUCAACCACUUGGCUGCGUAUGUCAAGAGCGCACCUGCAGUUAGCACUUGUGUGGCUCACCUGCCAGCUUUCCAUGUUGACGUCCACGUAAGUAUUGGGAAAAUUCAUGAAACUUGUGAAAAAAAUGUGAAAAAGUUGGUGAAUUCUCACUGGGUUUCUGCACUUUUUACCUUCUAUGUGCUUGUCACGACAGAAUGGUUGUGUGAUGUACAAAAUGAGACGCUACAUCUCCCUGGUGGACGGCCUCAGACUCCACCGCUGCGCCUACAGCGCCGAACUGAGAAGGCUCGGCUCCAAUCUGAAGCAGCUCCACCUCAUCAUGCGAGACAGAUGCCACGGGGACCUGGCAUAUACAGGCUACGACUGCGCCGCUCUGGAACACUAACACUCCAGACGCUGCAACAUCAUGGCCGUCUCAAGCGAAAUGUUGAAGGAGGAGUCUUCUCGAGCUUUGUAAAGCAGCUUAUCUGAAAAGAAAGCCUUAGGCGAGCCAUGCUUUUGUCCUUUAUACUUUCAUUCUGCUACAGUUACAGUAACUUGGCUUGACUGAUGACUUUAAAAGCAUUUUUUUGCUCCUUUCCACCAAUAACAAAACUGAACUGAAUUUCUAUAAUUUAUGCCAGUUUUCUAUGAUAUAUAUUCUGUUUUCGUACUUUAUCUUUCGUGGAUCAUUUGAUCAUUUAUCUGUCACUUUCUGUAUCCUUUACCUACAAUAAAAACAUCUUGCAUAAAGUUGC
rnacentral:lncRNA from 1 species